rnacentral:rRNA from 1 species
UACGAAGGGAGCUAGCGUUGUUCGGAAUCACUGGGCGUAACGCGCACGUAGGCGGAUGUGUCAGUCAGGGGUGAAAUCCCGGAGCUCAACUUCGGAACUGCCUUUGAUACAGCACGUCUUGAGUCCGAUAGAGGUGGGUGGAAUUCCUAGUGUAGAGGUGAAAUUCGUAGAUAUUAGGAAGAACACCGGUGGCGAAGGCGGCCCACUGGAUCGGUACUGACGCUGAGGUGCGAAAGCGUGGGGAGCAAACAGG